AUUGAACGCUGGCGGCAGGCCUAACACAUGCAAGUCGAACGAGUGGCGGACGGGUGAGUAAUUGCUGGGAAACUGCCUGCUGGAUGGGGAUAACUACUGGAAACGGUAGCUAAUACCGCAUACCAUCGGAUGUGCCCAGAUGGGAUUGGCUAGUAGGUGGGGUAAAGGCUCACAUAGGCGACGAUCCCCAGCUGGUCUGAGAGGAGGACCAGCCACACUGUAACUGAGACCCGGUCCAGACUCCUCCGGGAGGCAGCAGUAGGGAAUAUUGCACAAUGGGCGAAAGCCGGAUGCAGCAAUGCCGCGGGUAUGAAGAAGGCCUUCGGGUUGUAAAGUACUUUCAGCGGGGAGGCGGUACCCGCAGAAGAAGCACCGGCUAACUCCGUGCCAGCAGCCGCGGUAAUUC
rnacentral:rRNA from 1 species